rnacentral:rRNA from 1 species
UGGGGAAUUUUGCACAAUGGGGGCAACCCUGAUGCAGCGACGCCGCGUGAUUUAGAAGGCCUUCGGGUUGUAAAAAUCUUUUGUAUGGGAAGAAAAUGACAGUACCAUACGAAUAAGGACCGGCUAAUUACGUGCCAGCAGCCGCGGUAAUACGUAAGGUCCGAGCGUUGUCCGGAAUCAUUGGGCGUAAAGGGUACGUAGGCGGAUAAGCAAGUUAGAAGUGAAAUCCUAUAGCUCAACUAUAGUAAGCUUUUAAAACUGCUCAUCUUGAGGUAUGGAAGGGAAAGUGGAAUUCCUAGUGUAUCGGUGAAAUGCGCAGAUAUUAGGAGGAAUACCGGUGGCGAAGGCAUCUUUCUGACCAUAAACUGACGCUAAAGUACGAAAGCGUGGGUAGCAAACAGG